GACAGAGGAGGCGAGCGUUAUCCGGAGUUAUUGGGCGUAAAGGGUACGUAGGCGGCUGGUCAAGUCUGGGGUUAAAGACCACAGCUUAACUGUGGGGGGGCCUUGGAAACUGGCCGGCUGGAGUGGGGCAGGGGUUGCGGGAAUUCCCGGUGUAGCGGUGAAAUGCGUAGAUAUCGGGAAGAACACCUGAGGCGAAAGCGCGCAACUGGGCCCCAACUGACGCUGAGGUACGAAAGCUAGGGGAGCGAAGGGG
rnacentral:rRNA from 1 species